GUGGGGAAUCUUCCGCAAUGGACGAAAGUCUGACGGAGCAACGCCGCGUGAGUGAAGAAGGUUUUCGGAUCGUAAAGCUCUUUCGUUAGGGACGAACGUGCUCUUUGUGAAUAAUGAGGAGUAAUGACGGUACCUAAAUAAGAAGCCACGGCUAACUACGUGCCAGCAGCCGCGGUAAUACGUAGGUGGCAAGCGUUGUCCGGAAUUAUUGGGCGUAAAGCGCGCGCAGGCGGGAUAUCAAGUCUGUCUUAAAAGUGCGAGGCUCAACCUCGUGAGGUGACAGAAACUGGUAUUCUUGAGUGUCGGAGAGGAAAGUGGAAUUCCAAGUGUAGCGGUGAAAUGCGUAGAGAUUUGGAAGAACACCAGUGGCGAAGGCGACUUUCUGGACGAUGUCUGACGCUGAGGCGCGAAAGCUAGGGGAGCGAACGGGAUUAGAUACCCUGGUAGUCC
rnacentral:rRNA from 1 species